CGCAAGGCUCCUCUUUUCCAUGGUUAAAGUACACACUUAUGGAGAAACGUGACGUAUUCUUUGGAUUCAUUGGAGCUCUGGUCAUUUAUGUCUAAAGAAUGUCUAACCCUGGUCUUCAGGGUUUGGUGAAAAAUUCUAUGUUGGUGUUGGUAAGACUGGUGUCUUACAGGUACACCAAAGGCAGCUUCUUUAAGUAGAAGAUGAUGUUAAGCACAGAAAAAUCCAUGGCAUACUGCUAAAUUUGUGUUUUGUCCACCUUCCUCAAGAAGGCAAAAACUAGUCAAAACUUUUUUAGAUACCCAACUUUCAUCACUGCUGACAAGCCGCUUCAUGCUGACACAGCUACAUCAAUAAGGCCAAGUGCAGGGUGCUGCACUUGGGUCAGGGCAAUCCCAGGUAUUUAUACAAGCUAGGGGAAGAUUUCCUUGAGAGCAGCCCUGCAGAAAAGGACCUGGGGGUCCUGGUGGACAAGAAGCUGGACACGAGCCAGUAGUGCGCGCUUGCAGCCCGGAAGGCCAACUGUGUUCUGGGCUGCAUUAAAGAAGGAGUGGCCAACAGGGAGAGGGAGGUGAUUGUCCCCCUCUACCUGGCUCUUGUGAGGCCCCACCUGAACUACUGUGUCCACUACUACUAGCAAAACUGCCAUCUUGAACUUCAAGAGGGCGGACUUCGACCUGUUUAGGAUGCUUGUAGCACGGGUCCCCUGGGAGUCGCUCCUUAAGGGUAAAGGGGUCCAGGAAGCCUGGAUGCUCCUCAAGAUGGAAAUCUUAAAGGCACAAGAACAGGCUGUCUCUGAAUGCUGUACGAUGAGCCGUAGAGGAAGAAGACCGGUGUGGAUGAACCGUGAACUACUGUUGAGACUCCAGAAGAAAAAGCGAGUGCAUGUCCUCUGGAAGAAGGGACAGGCGACUUGGGGAGACUACAUGGAAGUUGCAGAGGUAUGCAGGGAGGAAGUUAGGAAGGCAAAAGCCCGACUUGAACUCAGAUUGGCCACUGCAGUAAAAGAGAAGAAGAAAUCCUUUUACAAAUACACCAGUGGGCUGCUGCCUGCCGCCUGGCUCUUCUGGCAGUCUACUGCGCUGCCUGCCUCUUCCUGGCAUCUGCUACACUGCCUGCCUCUUCUCGCAAUCUACUACAUUGCCUGCCUCUUCUUGUACUCUUGUACACCGCCUGGCUUUUCCUGGAAACUACUACGC
rnacentral:lncRNA from 1 species